rnacentral:rRNA from 1 species
AGAGUUUGAUCCUGGCUCAGAACGAACGCUGGCGGCAUGCCCAACACAUGCAAGUCGAACGGUGGCUUCGGCCAUAGUGGCGCACGGGUGAGUAACGCGUGGGAAACUGCCCAUCAGUGGGGAAUAACAGAGGGAAACUUCUGCUAAUACCGCAUACGCCCUUCGGGGGAAAGAUUUAUCGCUGAUGGAUGUGCCCGCGUCCGAUUAGGUAGUUGGUGGGGUAAAGGCCUACCAAGCCUACGAUCGGUAGCCGGCCUGAGAGGGCGCACGGCCACACUGGAACUGAGAUACGGUCCAGACUCCUACGGGAGGCAGCAGUGGGGAAUAUUGGACAAUGGGCGAAAGCCUGAUCCAGCAAUGCCGCGUGAAUGAUGAAGGCCUUAGGGUUGUAAAGUUCUUUCGGGUGGGACGAUGAUGACGGUACCACCAGAAGAAGCCCCGGCUAACUUCGUGCCAGCAGCCGCGGUAAUACGAAGGGGGCUAGCGUUGUUCGGAAUUACUGGGCGUAAAGCGCACGCAGGCGGCUCGUUAAAUUAGAAGUGAAAGCCCUGGGCUCAACCCGGGAAUUGCUUUUAAGACUGGCGAGCUUGAAUCCAGAAGAGGGUAGUGGAAUUCCAAGUGUAGAGGUGAAAUUCGUAGAUAUUUGGAAGAACACCAGUGGCGAAGGCGACUACCUGGUCUGGCAUUGACGCUCAUGUGCGAAAGCGUGGGGAGCAAACAGGAUUAGAUACCCUGGUAGUCG